UACGUAGGGCGCAAGCGUUGUCCGGAAUUAUUGGGCGUAAAGAGCUCGUAGGUGGUCUGUUGCGUCGGCUGUGAAAUCCCGAGGCUCAACCUCGGGCCUGCAGCCGAUACGGGCAGACUAGAGUUCGGCAGGGGAGACUGGAAUUCCUGGUGUAGCGGUGAAAUGCGCAGAUAUCAGGAGGAACACCGGUGGCGAAGGCGGGUCUCUGGGCCGAUACUGACACUGAGGAGCGAAAGCGUGGGGAGCGAACAGG
rnacentral:rRNA from 1 species